rnacentral:rRNA from 1 species
AUUGAACGCUGGCGGCAGGCCUAACACAUGCAAGUCGAACGAGUGGCGGACGGGUGAGUAAUGUCUGGGAAACUGCCUGAUGGAGGGGGAUCACUACUGGAAACGGUAGCUAAUCCCGCAUACCAUCGGAUGUGCCCAGAGGGGAUUAGCUAGUAGGUGGUGUAAAGGCUCACCUAGGCGACGAUCCCUAGCAGGUCUGAGAGGAUGACCAGCCACACGGGAACGUAGACACGGGCCAGACUCAUACGGGAGGCAGCAGUGGGGAAUAUUGCACAAGGGGCGCAAGCCGGAUGCAGCCAUGCCGCGUGUAUGAAGAAGGCCUUCGGGUUGUAAAGGACUUUCAGCGGUGAGGCGUUACCCGCAGAAGAAGCACCGGCUAACUCCGUGCCAGCAGCCGCGGUAAUUC